GCCGACUUAGCUCAUUUGGUAGAGCAGCUGAUUCGUAAUCAGCAGGUGACGAGUUCAACUCUCGUAGUCGGCUCCA
rnacentral:tRNA from 1 species